UUUCACUUUUUCCUUUUCUUCUCUUUUUUCUUCUUUUUCUUCUCCAAGCCGAACCCCAGCCUCCUUGCUCUUCCUCACCGUCGCCACUUCCUCCACACGAUGCGACGGUGGUGGAGGUGUCACGGUGAAGGUGCGACGACGGUGGUUGCGAGAGGAGGCUUUUGGCUGCUGUUUCUUGACUGUUUUUGCUGCUAUUUUUUUAAUUUUUUUCUUUUCUUUGCUGCCAAAACUGAACCCCCCUCUCUUCCUCUCAUCUUCUUCUUUUAAAUCCUUCAAUUUUGUCUUCUUUCCUUUGUUUUCAGGCGGUAGGAGAGCAUCAUUGGCCUAGGGAGGCUGCUGGAGUAGCUGGAGGUGGGUGGAGCACGCUUGGCUGCCGACUGGCGGAUUUGACAUGUCUAGGAGGACCAAAUUGUAAAGGGUGUAAAGUUUUCAGGGUAAAAAUGUAAUUUUAGAAAAAUAUGGGGCUAAAAUGUAAUUUUUAGAAAUUUUAGGGGUCCGAAUGUAAUUUAUAUUUUUUGUAUUUUUUCUAAUUUAUUAUUGCUUUAUUAA